rnacentral:rRNA from 1 species
AGGACGAACGCUGGCGGCGUGCUUAACACAUGCAAGUCGAACGGUAAGGCCUUUCGGGGUACACGAGUGGCGAACGGGUGAGUAACACGUGGGUGAUCUGCCCUGCACUUUGGGAUAAGCCUGGGAAACUGGGUCUAAUACCGAAUAUGACCAUGGACUUCACGGUUUGUGGUGGAAAGCUUUUGCGGUGUGGGAUGGGCCCGCGGCCUAUCAGCUUGUUGGUGGGUAAUGGCCUACCAAGGCGACGACGGGUAGCCGGCCUGAGAGGGUGACCGGCCACACUGGGACUGAGAUACGGCCCAGACUCCUACGGGAGGCAGCAGUGGGGAAUAUUGCACAAUGGGCGCAAGCCUGAUGCAGCGACGCCGCGUGAGGGAUGACGGCCUUCGGUUGUAAACCUCUUCAGUAGGACGAAGCGCAAGUGACGGUACCUAUAGAAGAAGGACCGGCCAACGUACGUGCCAGCCAGCCGC